rnacentral:rRNA from 1 species
CCUACGGGAGGCAGCAGUGGGGAAUAUUGGGCAAUGGGCGCAAGCCUGACCCAGCAACGCCGCGUGAAGGAAGAAGGUUUUCGGGUUGUAAACUUCCUUUCUCAGGGACGAAGCAAGUGACGGUACCUGCGGAAUAAGCCACGGCUAACUACGUGCCAGCAGCCGCGGCAAUACGUAGGUGGCAAGCGUUAUCCGGAUUUACUGGGUGUAAAGGGCGUGUAGGCGGGAAAGCAAGUCAGAGGUGAAAACCAUGGGCUCAACCUGUGGCCUGCAUUUGAAACUGUUUUUCUUGAGUACUGGAGAGGCAGACGGAAUUCCUAGUGUAGCGGUGAAAUGCGUAGAUAUUAGGAGGAACACCAGUGGCGAAGGCGGUCUGCUGGACAGCAACUGACGCUGAGGCGCGAAAGCGUGGGGAGCAAACAGGAUUAGAUACCCUAGUAGUC